rnacentral:lncRNA from 1 species
GUACUAGCUGUCAGCUGCUGGAGACCUUGCUUUCUGUUUCACUGGGAAACAGAAGCAAUCAGAAGGAAACUUCCUCAGACUCCACCUCUCCCUUCACUCCCGCCUGUAUCCGUGCCUGUUACCUGGACGCCUUGUGGAACUUGAAUUCUACGCCCUCCACUGGGACACUGCCCUUCAUCCUCUCUCACCUCCUCCAGGACAACACUCUCUCUGUGGGGCUUUCACCCCCAUCGCUCCACUGAAACUGCUCUUGUCAAGGUCAUCGAUGACCUCCCGCUGACAAACUCAACUGUCCCAUCUCUACACCCCAAACUGACCCAUCAGGAAUAGCAUGAGCUCCACCUUCCAAAGCUUCCGCAAUCUCACCGUCUCCACCGUUACUACCUGUGUCCGAGGCACCACUGUUUCUUGCCUGGAGUUGUAGACGGGAUUUCACCGUGUUAGCCAGGAUGGUCUCGAUCUCCUGACCUCGUGAUCCGCCUGUCUCGACCUCCCAAAGUGCUGGGAUUACAGAAUGUUGUAGUCCUCAUCAUCAGCAGAGACUUUGUGCCAUCCUCUGCUAUAUUAUCCUGAAGAGUGCCUGGCUCAUGCUGCAGUGUUCUGAAUAGCAGUCCAGCUAUGAGGGGAGGUGCCCGUGGCAGGCCUCAGCUGACCCUGGAGAGGCCAUUAAGACCUGGCUGUCGCCUCCACAGCUGCUCGGAGGCAGAGAAAGGUGGCUUUGUAAGAAGAAAAGAGAUCAUUCUUUUUCCACCAUGUGAGGACCCAGCAAGAGGGUGGCUGUCUGCAAACCCAGGGAGAGAGCCCUCACCAGGAAUCUGCUGGCACCUUAAUCUUGGACUUCCCAGCCUCCACAACUGUGAGGAAUAAAUGUAUGUUGUUUAAGCCA